AAUUAUAUAGUAUAUAUUUAUUACAUUUAACUUCCAAUUAAAAAAAUUAUUUUUAAUAAUAUAAGUA
rnacentral:tRNA from 1 species